rnacentral:rRNA from 1 species
UACGUAGGGUGCAAGCGUUGUCCGGAAUUAUUGGGCGUAAAGAGCUCGUAGGCGGUUCGUCGCGUCGGCUGUGAAAUCCCGAGGCUCAACCUCGGGUCUGCAGUCGAUACGGGCGGACUGGAGUUCGGCAGGGGAGACGUGGAAUUCCUGGUGUAGCGGUGAAAUGCGCAGAUAUCAGGAGGAACACCGGUGGCGAAGGCGGGUCUCUGGGCCGAUACUGACGUGAGGAGCGAAAGCGUGGGGAGCGAACAGGA